AUUGUACUCCCUCCGUCCCAAAAUUCUUGUCUUAGAUUUGUCUAGAUAUGGAUGUAUCUAAUACUAAAACAUGACUUGAUACAUCCGUAUUUAGACAAAUCUAAGACAAGAAUUUUGGGACGGAGGGAGUAAUAG
rnacentral:pre_miRNA from 1 species